rnacentral:rRNA from 1 species
GACGAACGCUGGCGGCGUGCUUAACACAUGCAAGUCGAACGGAAAGGCCCUGCUUUUGUGGGGUGCUCGAGUGGCGAACGGGUGAGUAACACGUGAGUAACCUGCCCUUGACUUUGGGAUAACUUCAGGAAACUGGGGCUCAUACCGCAUAUGAGCUCCUGCUGCAUGGUGUGCGUUGGAAAGUUUCGGCGGUUGGGGCUGGACUCGCGGCUUAUCAGAUUGUUUGUGGGGUAGUGGCUUACCAAGGCUUUGACGGGUAGCCUGCCUGAGAGGGUGACCGGCGACAUUGGGACUGAGAGACGGACCAGAAUGCUACGGGAGGCAGCAGUGGGGAAUAUUGCACAAUGGGCGGAAGCGUGAUGCAGAAACGCCGCGUGCGGGAUGACGGCCUUCGGGUUGUAAACAGAUUUGGCCUGUGACGAAGAGGGAGUGACGGUAAUGGGUAAAGAAGCAACGGCUAACUACGUG